rnacentral:rRNA from 1 species
AAUGAACGUUGGCGGCGUGGAUUAGGCAUGCAAGUCGAGCGAGAACCCGGCAAUGGGGGACAGCGGCGUAAGGGACAGUAAUGUGUAGAUUAUCUGCCCUCGGGACCGGGAUAGCUGCGGGAAACUGCAGGUAAUACCGGAUAACAUCUCCGGAUCAAAGGUGUGAUUCCGCCCGAGGAUGAGUCUGCAUCCUAUUAGCUAGUUGGCAGGGUAAUGGCCUACCAAGGCUUUGAUGGGUGGCGGGUGUGAGAGCACGACCCGCGUCAUUGGGACUGAGACACUGCCCAGACACCUACGGGUGGCUGCAGUCGAGAAUCUUCGGCAAUGGGCGCAAGCCUGACCGAGCGACGCCGCGUGUGGGAUGAAGGCCUUCGGGUUGUAAACCACUGUUAGAGGGGAUGAAAUGCAGGUGGGUUCUCCCAUCUGUUUGACAUAGCCUCAGAGGAAGGACGGGCUAAGUUCGUGCCAGCAGCCGCAGUAAUAC